UCGGGCCGCAGCGCCCGCGUCACUGGAGAGCGUGUGUCCAGUCACAGGCGGUCUUCCCGGUGCGCACAGCGUUGGUGGCGGCGGCUCUUGGGUUACCACCGGCUGUUCUCUAUUUUAUUUAUUUGACAGGCAGAGUUACAGAGAGAGAGAGAGAGAAAGGUCUUCCUUCCAUUGGUUCACUCCCCGAGUGGCUGCAAUGGCUGGAACUGCGCCGAUCCGAACCCAGGAGCCAGGUGCUUCCUCCCUGUCUCCCAUGCGGGUGCAGGGGCCCAAGGACUUGGGCCAUCCUCCACUGCUUUCCCAGGCCACAGCAGAGAGCUGGACUGGAAGAGGAGCAACCGGGGCUAGAAUCAGCAGCCAUGUGGGAUGCCAGCGUUGCAGGUGGAGGAAUAACCUAGUGCACCAUGAACCAGCUGCCUUCAUCUUCAACAUCAUCUUAUCCCUUCUAAAAACAAUUAUCCAUUUUUAAAUUGCUUAUUUCUUUAGGCUGUUGUCCUUAUAUAGUUUUAUUAAAGCAUCAGUGAUUUCA